UCCUCCAGUGAACUGAGAGGGUUUAUAGUCCUGUGAGUUCAACACUGCAGGACUCAGAUCUGUCAGUCAACACAGCAGAAAGCACAACCACCAUGACUCUCAUCACCAUCCUCAUCUGGACGCUGGCCUGCUGCUGUUUUACAGGAUGCAGCGGUCAGGUGACUGUGACUCAACCUCCAGUAGUGACAUCUACUCCAGGAUCCACUGUCACUCUCACCUGUAAAACCAGCCAGGCUGUUUAUAGAGAUAGUAGUGGAGAUUAUAUGCACUGGUAUCAACAGAAAUCUGGACAGACUACAAAACUCCUAAUAAAAUUUGCAAGCACACGUCAUUCAGGAACACCAGCUCGGUUUAGUGGCAGUGGAAGCAGCUCUGACUUCUCUUUGACCAUCAGUGGAGUUCAGACUGAAGAUGCAGCAGUUUAUUACUGUCAGAGUGUCCAUAGUGGGCCGGUGUUCACACAGUGAUUUGUAGUCGUACAAAAACCUCCCUCAGUCAGACUGCAGAGACACUGAGCUGUUACAGCAGGAACCGACUGCAGCUGCUGAAGAGGAAGAGACUCUGACACAGACCACUGAACACAGAGCUGACAGUAACCUCACCAAGCACAAACUGUACCAAUCACAAACAACAUGUACACAUGAAUAUAUUGGCAUAUUUUAUAUUUUUAAAUAUCUUCCUUUUAUUCCAUGUCAAAAAGUGUGAAACUGACAUUGAAACUAACCAUCAUGAUGUUCAUUUUCCACAUACAGUGAUAUCAGAAGUUGUG